CAGGGAGAAAGCAGAGUUUGCUGGGAAAGAAAGCACAGAAUUCUGGGAAAUGUAGUUUGGGAAGACAAGGAGCCCCGUGGCAGAGAAUACAAAAGGCCUUGCCCUAAACUAUAUUUCCCAGAAUUCUGCUCAACAUCAGAAUGUCCCAGUGAGGAUAAUGGAGAGCUAUUUUCCCUCCGUAGCAGCACCCAGCAAAAGAGGUCUACAAUAAAUUCAGAAAGAAGAGAGCUCCUGUGCUUGAACCCAUUAAAUCC